rnacentral:lncRNA from 1 species
GGAAUCAGGCGAUUCAAGCGCCUGGAGUUUCGUCUCGAAACCCUCUUUCCGAAUAAUCAACUUAAACAAGUUUUUUCUACUGUAAAAUUUGACUUAGAUCCAGAUUACUAGAACAAAGUUGUUUUCUUUCGCCGUUUGAUUUCUUUUGCUUCGUUCGAUUUGAUUCUUUUUGCAAACCAGGGUUCUUAAGUUGAACUUUCAGGUUAGAUCUUCUAUUUGAGUUUUACCUGUGCAUUAGUUGAGUACUUAUUGUAUGCUUGUUUGUUUGUCUGCGAUAGAAUACCCGGAGUGCGCCGCCUGUUACUUUGAAUCUCUAGGUUUCGCGGAUCAUCAGCAAGGCAAGUAACACUUUGAUCAUACCUUUUUCUACAACCCAGUUUUAUUGCAUUAGAUCAAUCCUCACACAUUGCAUGAUUAGGAUCUAAUUAAAUUGUGGGAUGGGAAGUAGAUGAGGUAGUACCUAUUACCUGUUUAUUAUCAAACCUUUGGGAGUUACUUCUAUGUUUGCUUAUUAUGCCAUGCUUUGCUAGUAGACGUGGAUUGGGUGAGUGAUAUCCAUGACAGAUGUGAGAUUGUUAAUUAAUGGUUUAUCUAAGGUGGCAACCUAAACACACAUCUGGGUGGAUUGAGGCACCUGGGUAUUCCAGGACUUGCCUGUUUUUCUUUUGGACCGCCACCCAGGCUCAAAGGGAUCAUGAGAUUAUUCAUACUAGAAACUUCCGUGUGCAGCCACAAGCCAUUAUGGGCUCUGGCAUAGUUGAUUAAGUCGUGCGAACUCUUAUAGGGUAGACUAGCAGAUGUAGAGGAUGUAGGUGGUACGGUCUACCCGAUCGUAAGGUGCUAGCGCUUCUGAAAGACUAUGUCUCGGUCAUUCGUUUCUCAAACACCAUGUAGUGCGAGAAAUCCAACGGAGGCGAUCGAGUCUUGUGGGGAAAUGUGCGCAAACCUCUGCAGAGUCUAACAAACUAAUCAUGGUUAGCCUUGUCCCCGGUUAUGGACAUCUUGAGUAUCUAGUACCUGGAUUUUCAUGUGAAUCUCAACAUGUUACUCUAAAGUUAAUUUUGUUGGGUUAAUGAUGAUGCUUAAUUGGGAUUGAGAAUGCUGUCAACCAUUCUCAAUGUUUAACAACCACCAUGAUAGUAAUUAAAUUUAUUCCUUUGAAGUAGGGAAAAUUGGCUUUACGCAAAAACUGUAACCAUAGAGCUUUCCACCAGCCAAAUAUGCAUAUAGUAUAGCUGUUGCAUUCCAUUACUCUCUAUGUGUUACCUUGCCAGCAUAUUCCAUGUGCUGACCCGUUCUCGGGCUGCAACGUUAAUGUUGUAGACUUUUCAGACGACGAUUAAUGAGUUUUUAGGUCGUGGUUCUAUACUCAGUGAUGCCGUUGGAGUUGAUGGACUCACCUAUCUUCCAAGCCUUCCCCUGUUAUCGUUAUUAGAUGGCCUUAAGCCAUAUUUAUUAUAAUAAGUUCUCUUUUGAGACACUCGAUGUAAUAAGUGUGUGAUUGCUACUCUUCUAUAAAUCCUUCGAGUAUUGUGUGGUGUCAGCAUUACUGAUCCAGGGAUGACACCGGAGCACAGAGAUCAGACUGUUUGAGGUCUGGUCGCUACAGAGAUGGUAUUAGAGCACACGCUGACUAUAGGACACGACCACUAAGCUAAAGACCUAGAUCACUAUUCACUCUCUUCUCUUCUGUCCUCUCAUCUUUUCUACUCUUUAGGAUGGCGGAUGCAAGGAACAAGUUCACACAACCAGAUGAAGAUACACCCUUUGGACGCCACUUGAAGGAAGUCACUAGAUACCUAAACAUAGGAGUACCAAGCUUCACGGGAACCUACAACGCCACUUUACCUGGAGAAGAGCGCUGGAUGAUUCAAGUUCAAGUUCUAGGAAGGACGUUCAUGCCAGUCACUGAGCCCAUAGAGUUUUCUUUUGAUGCACCAACUUGGAGUCUAGGAAAGAGUAUGGCAGCUCACAUCACCAUGGGACGCAUUGGAGAAGUCUACCGCAAGGAUCUCAAGGAUACUAUCUACCAGAUUUGCGGGCGCCGAGAUGAACACUGGGAGAUGAUCAGCACCAGGAAAGAUAGAUCAAUUGCAGCUUUUAUUCAGGAGUUAAAUCAGCACAUUCGACGACAGGAGAAUCAGAUGUGCGCCGACAUGAUAGAUCUGAAGAAGGCUAAGACUAGAAUCAAGGAACUGGAGGAAGAACUCAAGGCUACACGCGAAGAUUAUGAAGAAGAAAUUGAAGUAUUGGUGGAGAAGAAUGACGAUCUGAUCAAGAAGAUUGGAAUAUUUAUGGGAGGCCCGACACCAGUAGAUGAAGACGAAGAACCCAAAGAGAUUAGCCCGGAAGACUACAUCAUCAUUGAUGGCACCGACUCGGAACAAGAUAGUAGAAAUGAUGACUACGUUGAUGAAGCAAGAGCAGAUACCAUGGAGUCUACAACCGUAGAAUAUUUCUAGUAGACCACCUCAUCAGUAGUAGUAGUCCACCAUGUAAAUAUAGUAGUCCGAGCACUUUUCGAUAGAUAGAUCGAUUGAAUGCCUUUGUUUGUUUGAAUGAAGUGAAUUGUUUGCUUUUACCUCAUGUGCAUAUGGGUAGUGUUUUCUCUUUAGACCCCCUCUAUUCUUAUAUCUCGUCUUUUCUAAACCCUCAGAUGCCUCCGAGACGUGACCCCGGAUUUGCCUUUCCGCCGGAGCUCACCCAGUUGAUCCAGCAGCAGAACACCUUGAUGCAGUUGCUAGUUCAGAAUCAGAAUCAGGGGAACAACAACAACAACCCACCACCACCACCACCUGUUGACCACUUAGCCCGUUUUCUUAGGCUGAAUCCGCCGGUGUUUUCCAGUAGCACCGAGCCGAUAGUAGCAGAUGAUUGGCUCCGCAAGAUAGCUAGGGAGUUGACCACAGUAGGAUGCACGGAUGCGGAGAAGGUGAAGUUUGCCGCACAUUAGUUAGAAGGACCCGCAGCAUCCUGGUGGGAGAAUUUCACAGCCACCUUCCCAGUCGACACUGUCACAUGGGACCAGUUUUAGCAGGCUUUUCGUACUUCCCAUGUUUCAGUAGGAGCAAUGGCCAUGAAGAAGCGUGAGUUUCAUAACUUGCGCCAAGGAGGACGGACAGUUGGCCAGUAUGUGGAGGAGUUUAGUAAGCUAGCACGUCGUUCCCCAGAUGACGUUGCUACGGAUGCAGCUAAGCAAGAGGAAGUACCAGUGGUAAAGGAUUUUCCUGAUGUAUUUCCCGAAGAAUUGCCAGGCAUGCCACCGGAUAGAGACAUUGAGUUUUUGAUUGAGCUUUUGCCAGGCACUGGGCCAAUAUCGAAGAGACCAUAUAGGAUGCCAGCAAAAGAUUUGGUGGAAAUUAAGAAGCAAAUUAAGGAGUUACUGGAUAAAGGUUACAUUUGCCCAAGUUCUUCGCCUUGGGGAUCACCAGUACUUCUAGUGGAGAAGAAGGAUGGAUCGUUAAGAAUGGUUGUUGAUUAUCGAGGAUUGAAUGAAGUAACGAUCAAGAACAAGUACCCACUACCAAUGAUCAAUGAUCUGUUUGAUCGAUUGCAAGGAGCUAAGGUAUUUUCCAAGAUCGAUCUGCGAUCAGGAUACCACCAGUUGAAGAUUCGAGAACAGGACAUUCCGAAGACAGCUUUUACCACCAGGUAUGGGCUGUAUGAGUAUACCGUUAUGUCAUUUGGUCUGACUAACGCGCCUGCCUAUUUUAUGAACAUGAUGAACAAAGUGUUUAUGGAGUUUUUGGAUAAGUUCGUCGUAGUGUUCAUUGAUGAUAUCCUGGUAUAUUCAAAGAAUGAAGAGGAGCAUAAGGAGCAUUUGCGUUUGGUACUUGGAAAGCUCAGAGAACACCAAUUAUAUGCCAAGUUCAGCAAAUGUGAGUUUUGGUUGAAGGAAGUAGGAUUCCUCGGACACGUUAUAUCAGGAGAAGGUAUAGCAGUAGAUCCCGCUAAGGUUGAAACCGUGACCAAGUGGGAAGCCCCAAACAACAGUUGGAGAGAUCCGGAGUUUUCUUGGACUCGCAGGAUACUAUCGGAGAUUUAUUGAGAAUUUCUCAAAGAUUGCGAAGCCUAUGACGGAGUUGUUGAAGAAAGAUACCAAGUUCAUAUGGACUGAGCAGUGUGAGGCUAGUUUCCAGGAGUUGAAGAAACACUUGGUUACCUCACCAGUGUUGAUUUUGCCGGAUCAAACCAAGGAUUAUGAGGUGUAUUGCGAUGCUUCACGUCGAGGACUUGGAGCAGUGCUUAUGCAGGAAGGGAGAGUUGUUUCAUAUGCCUCAAGACAACUGAAGCCCCAUGAGUUGAAUUAUGCCAUGCAUGAUUUGGAGUUAGCAGCCGUAGUGCAUGCAUUGAAGACAUGGAGACAUUUCCUCAUUGGAAAUUAUUGUGAGGUGUACACGGAUCACAAGAGUUUGAAGUACAUUUUCACACAGAAGGAGUUGAACCUUAGACAAAGGAGAUGGUUGGAGCUCAUCAAGGAUUAUGAUAUGAGAUUGCAUUAUCAUCCCGGGAAGGCUAAUGUAGUAGCUGAUGCAUUAAGCCGCAAGAGCCAUGUCAAUACGUUAAUGACGGGAGAAAUACCCAAGGAGUUAGCAGCAAAAUCUUCGUGAACUAAGUUUGGAAAUAGUUCCGAGAGGCUAUGUAGCAACGUUGGAAAUUCAGUCAACUUUGAUGGACAAAAUCAGGGAAGCUCAGAAGACUGACAAGGAGAUUGCUUCCAUAAAGGAGAAAAUGAAAGGAGGAAAAGCUAAAGGAUUUCGUCAGGAUGAGCACGACACCCUAUGGUUUGAAGACCGUGUUUACGUGCCCAAUGACCCGGAGAUUAGGAAGUUGAUUCUGCAAGAGGCACAUGAUUCACCAUAUUCAAUUCACCCAGGAAAUACCAAGAUGUAUUUGGAUUUGAAAGACAUUUUCUGGUGGACCGGUAUGAAGAAGGAUAUUGUGGAGUAUGUAGCAGUUUGCGACGUAUGUCAGAGAGUAAAGGCAGAGCAUCAGAAGCCAGCAGGAUUGUUGCAACCAUUGUCGAUACCCGAAUGGAAGUGGGAUAAGCUAGGCAUGGAUUUUAUCACGGGAUUACCAAGGACUCGUUCAGGCUAUGACUCGAUUUGGGUUGUAGUUGAUCGAUUGACGAAAGUAGCUCAUUUCAUCCCAGUAAAGACCACUUACACCAGUGCUAAGUUGGCAAAGAUAUACAUGUCCAGGAUCGUAUGUUUGCAUGGAGUUCCGAGGAGCAUCGUAUCAGAUAGAGGAACCUAGUUUACCUCAAAGUUCUGGAAGCAGUUGCACGAAACUUUGGGAACCAGGCUAGAAUUCAGUACAGCUUUUCAUCCGCAGACAGAUGGACAGACCGAGAGAGUUAAUCAGAUUUUGGAGGAUAUGCUGAGAGCUUGUGCGCUAGAUUAUGGAUCUAGUUGGGACGAUAAUUUGCCAUAUGCAGAGUUCUCUUACAAUAAUAGCUAUCAGACCAGUUUGAAGAUGGCCCCUUUCAAAGCUUUGUACGGAAGGAGGUGCAGGACACCGUUGUCAUGGGAUGAAGUUGGAGACCGCCAGUUGUUUGGACCAGAUCUGAUUAAAGAGUCUGAACAGAAGGUGAAGUUGAUUCGCGAUAGGCUCAAGGUAGCCCAGUCCAGGCAGAAGAGCUACGCAGAUUCUAAACGCAAGGAGACAGUUUACAAAGUCGGAGACAGAGCCUAUCUUCGAGUAUCCCCACUUCGAGGGAUUAAGCGCUUUGGAGUUAAGGGGAAGUUAGCGCCACGAUUUGUAGGGCCAUAUCGAGUUUUGGAGCGUAUGGGAGAAGUGGCCUACAAGUUGGAAUUGCCAGAAGGAUUAACAGGAGUUCAUGAUGUGUUCCACGUUUCUCAGUUGAAGAAGUGUCACACGGAGAUGGCAGACAUGCCUUUGAGAGACACAGUGCCAUUAGAAGUAAUUCAGUUGGAUAACAAUUUGACCUAUGAGGAGAAACCAGUCAAGAUUCUCAAGUUUGCCAGCCGAGUCACUCGCAGCAAGGUUAUCAAGUUUUGCAAAGUUCAGUGGAGCCACCACACGGAGGAUGAAGCCACCUGGGAGCGAGAGGAAGAUUUGCUCAAGGACCACCCUCACCUAUUUUCUAGCCAACCCGAAUCUAGAGGGCGAGAUUCAUCUUAAGGGGGGUAGGUUUGUAACAUCCCAAAUUUUCAAUUUGGAAUGUUAUACAUUAGAUCAUCAUGCAUAUCAUAUUUCAUUUUGCUUUUGGUUUUGAUCCUAGAAAAUCCUAAGCAACUCAAGGACCCACGGAGAGAGUUGGGGAUUUCGUUAUUUACAUAUUUGAGUUUUCUCAAAUUUUGUAAACAGGAUCAUUUGAUUUUAUUUAUUUUAUCAUCAAUUAUUUCUAUUACAAAAAUAUGAGAGAGGGAAUAAAAUGACUUUCCCAAAAUAUAGAAAUAUUGAGGAUUUAAUAAAAAAUCAAAUAAGAUUUAUUUCGAAGUUUUUCGGUUUUUUAUUUGAAUUUAGGAAAAAUGCAUGUUUUCAAAAUUGCAUUUAGGGCCCAAAUAAAUGUUCACUUUAUUGGGCUUGAUUUUAGAAGCUCGGGAAAAUUUAUUUCGGGAUUUUUGGAGUCCGUUUAGUAUUUCUUUUUAUUUUUUAUCCGAGCGUAAUUAUUUAAAAAAAACGAAACCGACUAUGGGCCGUACCCGAGCGGGACUCCGCCCGGGGGCGCCUUUAUAUAGUGCCGCACCCGAGCCCCAGCCCACACCAGCCCGAAGGCCAGCCGCCUGAAACCCUAGGCCCAGCCGCCGCCAGCCGCCGCCGCCGCCCCGCCGCCGAUCCGCCGGAGCCGCGCGUCGCCCGAGGUUCGCCACCCUCGAAAUCCGUGCCGUUUUUUUAGAAAAAAAAUUCCGUUCGUCGUUUUUUCUUUUUUCGUCGGAUUUUUCCGCGGUUAUUUUCUGAUCGCGAUUUCUGAUCCGAUUUUCGUUUUAGUAUAACUUUUCGCUCGUUUAUCGGAAUCAGGCAAUUCAAGCGCCUGGAGUUUCGUCUCGAAACCCUCUUUCCGAAUAAUCAACUUAAACAAGUUUUUGCUACAGUAAAAUUUGACUUAGAUCCAGAUUACUAGAACGAAGUUGUUUUCUUUCGCCGUUUGAUUUCUUUUGCUUCGUUCGAUUUGAUUCUUUUUGCAAACCAGGGUUCUUAAGUUGAACUUUCAGGUUAGAUCUUCUAUUUGAGUUUUACCUGUGCAUUAGUUGAGUACUUAUUGUAUGCUUGUUUGUUUGUCUGCGAUAGAAUACCCGGAG